AGCGAACGCUGGCGGCAGGCCUAACACAUGCAAGUCGAGCGGAUGAGUGGAGCUUGCUCCAUGAUUCAGCGGCGGACGGGUGAGUAAUGCCUAGGAAUCUGCCUGGUAGUGGGGGACAACGUUUCGAAAGGAACGCUAAUACCGCAUACGUCCUACGGGAGAAAGUGGGGGAUCUUCGGACUUCACGCUAUCAGAUGAGCCUAGGUCGGAUUAGCUAGUUGGUGAGGUAAAGGCUCACCAAGGCGACGAUCCGUAACUGGUCUGAGAGGAUGAUCAGUCACACUGGAACUGAGACACGGUCCAGUCUACUACGGGAGGCAGCAGUGGGGAAUAUUGGACAAUGGGCGAAAGCCUGAUCCAGCCAUGCCGCGUGUGUGAAGAAGGUCUUCGGAUUGUAAAGCACUUUAAGUUGGGAGGAAGGGCAGUAAGUUAAUACCUUGCUGUUUUGACGUUACCAACAGAAUAAGCACCGGCUAACUUCGUGCCAGCAGCCGCGGUAAAAC
rnacentral:rRNA from 1 species